ACCUGGCCGGGAAGGUGGGUCAGCUACAGAGCAGAAACUGUGUUCCCCGGUACUGUCGCAUCUCCCUGCCUGGUGUGUCACAUUGGUGUGUGACAGACGUGUACAGAAACAUCUUAUCUUCUCAGAUCCAACCAAAUGCUGCAAAGCUCACUGGAUGGUGCUGCUAAAGCAACCAAGUUUUUAAGGCCAAAAAGUGGAUAGUGUUCUUCACUGGCUAAGACAAUCACCUAACCUGAAUCCCAAUGAACAUGCAUUUCACUGGCUAAAGACAAGACUGAGGGCAAAAAUCCCAGAAACAAACAGGAACUGAAGAUGGCUGCAGUACAGGCCUGGCAGAGCAUCACCAGGGGAGCUACCCACCAUCUGGUGAUAUCCAUGGGUCACAGACUUCAGGCAGCCAUCAGCUGAAAAAGAUUUUCAACCAAGUAGUAAAUAUGACAGCUUUAUUUAAGACUAUGUAAAUUUGUCUAAUUACUGUUGGUCCCCUUAAAAGGGGGGACUGUGUAUAAAAAGGGCUG